GAUGAACGCUAGCGGCAGGCUUAAUACAUGCAAGUCGAGGGGUAACAUGGGGUAGCAAUACUCUGAUGACGACCGGCAAACGGGUGCGGAACACGUACGCAACUUUCCCAAAACUGGUGAAUAGCCCUCCGAAAGGAGGAUUAAUACACCGUAACAUAUAGAGGUGGCAUCGCCUUUAUAUUAUAGCUCCGGCGGUUUUGGAUGGGCGUGCGCCUGAUUAGGUAGUUGGUGUGGUAACGGCUCACCAAGCCUACGAUCAGUAACUGGUGUGAGAGCACGACCAGUCACACGGGCACUGAGACACGGGCCCGACUCCUACGGGAGGCAGCAGUAAGGAAUAUUGGUCAAUGGACGAAAGUCUGAACCAGCCAUGCCGCGUGAAGGAUGAAGGCCCUCUGGGUUGUAAACUUCUUUUA
rnacentral:rRNA from 1 species